rnacentral:rRNA from 1 species
AUUGAACGCUGGCGGCAGGCUUAACACAUGCAAGUCGAGCGGAGAUGAGGUGCUUGCACCUUAUCUUAGCGGCGGACGGGUGAGUAAUGCUUAGGAAUCUGCCUAUUAGUGGGGGACAACAUUCCGAAAGGAAUGUUAAUACCGCAUACGUCCUACGGGAGAAAGCAGGGGAUCUUCGGACCUUGCGCUAAUAGAUGAGCCUAAGUCGGAUUAGCUAGUUGGUGGGGUAAAGGCCUACCAAGGCGACGAUCUGUAGCGGGUCUGAGAGGAUGAUCCGCCACACUGGGACUGAGACACGGCCCAGACUCCUACGGGAGGCAGCAGUGGGGAAUAUUGGACAAUGGGGGAAACCCUGAUCCAGCCAUGCCGCGUGUGUGAAGAAGGCCUUAUGGUUGUAAAGCACUUUAAGCGAGGAGGAGGCUACUGAGACUAAUACUCUUGGAUAGUGGACGUUACUCGCAGAAUAAGCACCGGCUAACUUCGUGCCAGCAGCCGCAGUAACAC